AAACAUGCCUUUGAAUCUGAAAGCCAGGACUUUUGCAAAAUAAUUCAAAAAGUUUGUUGAACCUUAAACCUUUCCUGAUGAUUCCUUCCUUCUGAAGUUAACUUGUUAAAGUUGC
ensembl:misc_RNA